GAUGAACGCUGGCGGCGUGCUUAACACAUGCAAGUCGAGCGCCCCGCAAGGGGAGCGGCAGACGGGUGAGUAACGCGUGGGAACGUGCCCUUUGGUUCGGAACAACUCCGGGAAACUGGAGCUAAUACCGGAUAAGCCCUUCGGGGGAAAGAUUUAUCGCCAAAGGAUCGGCCCGCGUCUGAUUAGCUAGUUGGUGAGGUAAUGGCUCACCAAGGCGACGAUCAGUAGCUGGUCUGAGAGGAUGAUCAGCCACACUGGGACUGAGACACGGCCCAGACUCCUACGGGAGGCAGCAGUGGGGAAUAUUGGACAAUGGGCGCAAGCCUGAUCCAGCCAUGCCGCGUGAGUGAUGAAGGCUCUAGGGUUGUAAAGCUCUUUCGCCAGGGAAGAUAAUGACGGUACCUGGAUAAGAAGCCCCGGCUAACUUCGUGCCAGCAGCCGCCGUAACAC
rnacentral:rRNA from 1 species